GAUUAGUUUUUAGAUGUUUGACAAGUUUUAUGGUAGAGAUUAAUUUAAUCUCAAUUCAAUUGUAAGUUAAUAUUUAACUCUGCAUAUUCUACAUAUAGUCAGAUAAAUAAAUUAUUAAGAGCACUUGAUGGAUGCCUUGGCGUUAAGAGGCGAUGAAGGACGUGGCAGGCUGCGAUAAGCUGCGGGUAAUUGUCAACAAAUUCUAAUCCGCAGAUUUCCGAAUGGGGAAACCCAACUAGCUUAGCUAGUUAUUACAUACUAAGUAUGUAAAGCAAACUUGGUGAACUGAAAUAUCUAAGUAGCCAAAGGAAAAGAAAUCAAUCGAGAUUCUGUUAGUAGUGACGAGCGAAAGCGGAAAAGGCUAGUGAUUUAAGAAUAAGAAUUAGAAUACUCUGGAAAUAGUAACCAUAGAAGGUGAUAGUCCUGUAUAAGUAGAAAGUUUUUAAAUCCUUGAGUAGAGCGGGGCACGUGAAAUCCUGUUUGAAUAUGGGGGGACCAUCCUCCAAGCCUAAAUACUCCUUAGCGACCGAUAGUGAACAAGUACCGUGAGGGAAAGGUGAAAAGAACCCCGGGAGGGGAGUGAAAUAGAAUCUGAAAUCGAGUGCUUACAAACAGUUGGAGCUCUAUGCUUUUCCUACAAGAGCAAUCUUGUAGUUAGUUUGUAUUAGAGUGACAGCGUACCUUUUGCAUAAUGGGUCAGCGAGUUAAUCUAUGAAGCAAGCUUAAGCCGUUAGGUGUAGGCGUAGCGAAAGCAAGUCUGAAUAGGGCGUUUUAGUUUUAUGGAUUAGACCCGAAACCAAGUGAUCUAGUCAUGACCAGAUUGAAGGUGUGGUAAAACACACUGGAGGAUCGAACCAGUUAAUGUUGCAACAUUAUUGGAUGAGUUGUGAUUAGGGGUGAAAGGCCAAUCAAACUUGGAAAUAGCUGGUUCUCCGCGAAAUCUAUUUAGGUAGAGCGUUGUAUGUAUGUUGUUGGGGGUAGAGCACUGGAUAGACUAGGGGGAUUCAUCAUCUUACCAAAUCUAACCAAACUCCGAAUACCAAUAAUUAAUUGUACAACAGGCACACUACGGGUGCUAAGUCCGUGGUGAAGAGGGAAACAACCCAGAUCACUAUCUAAGGUCCCAAAAUUGCAGCUAAGUGGGGAAGGAAGUAGAAAAACCAUUACAGCUAGGAGGUUGGCUUGGAAGCAGCCAUCCUUUAAAGAAAGCGUAACAGCUCACUUGUCUAAAUAAGUUUUUCUGCGCCGAAAAUGUACCGGGGCUAAAGCUGUAUACCGAAGAUGUGAGUACUUGUUGAUUUCGAUCAAUGGGUGCGGUAGCGGAGCGUUCCGUAAGUCUGUGAAGGUAGUUUGAGAGGACUGCUGGAGAUAUCGGAAGUGAGAAUGCUGACAUAAGUAGCGUAAAAGAGUGUGAAAAACACUCUCACCAAAAAUCUAAGGGUUCCUACGUUAAGUUAAUCUGCGUAGGGUUAGUCGGUUCCUAAGGCGAGUCCAUAAAGGAGUAGUCGAUGGCAAUUAGGUUAAUAUUCCUAAACCUUUUAAGUGUGACGGGUUUUGUAUUUGUAUAGGUCUUAUUGGAUUGAUCUAUGCUUAGAAAAAGCUCCAGGAAAUAGCACUUAUAUUUAUAAGGCCGUACCGUAAACCGACACUGGUAGAUGAGUAGAGUAUACUAAGGUGUUGAAAGAAUGAUGUUGAAGGAACUCGGCAAAUUAUACCUGUAACUUCGGAAGAAGGGUAACCUGCUUUUAGGCAACUAUGAGUAGGUGGCACAAAAUAGGGAGUAGCGACUGUUUACUAAAAACACAGGACUCUGCAAACAUGUAAGUGGAAGUAUAGGGUCUGACGCCUGCCCGGUGCUGGAAGGUUAAUAGGAAGGGUGCAAGCUCUGAAUUGAAGCCCCAGUAAACGGCGGCCGUAACACUGACGGUCCUAAGGUAGCGAAAUUCCUUGUCGGGUAAGUUCCGACCCGCACGAAUGGCGUAACGAUUUCUCCACUGUCUCCAACAUCAUUUCAGCGAAAUUGAAUUCCCCGUGCAGAUGCGGGGUACCCGCGGUUAGACGAAGAGACCCCGUGCACCUUUACUAUAGCUUUACAUUGCUAUUAAAAAUGUGAUGUGCAGGAUAGGUGGGAGACUUUGAAGUUAUGGCGCUAGCUGUAAUGGAGUCAACCUUGAGAUACCACCCUUUGCAUUUUUGAUAUCUAACUAUGUUUCAUUAUCUGGAACUAGGACAUUGUAUGGUGGGUAGUUUGACUGGGGCGGUCGCCUCCUAAAAAGUAACGGAGGCGUGCGAAGGUAAGCUAGGGCUGGUCGGAAAUCAGCUUGAUAGUACAAUGGCAUAAGCUUGCCUGACUGCGAGGCUGACAAGCCAAGCAGGGACGAAAGUCGGUCAUAGUGAUCCGGUGAUUCUGUAUGGAAGGGUCAUCGCUCAACGGAUAAAAGGUACGCCGGGGAUAACAGGCUGAUGGUGUUCGAGAGUUCAUAUCGACGACACCGUUUGGCACCUCGAUGUCGACUCAUCACAUCCUGGGGCUGAAGAAGGUCCCAAGGGUUCGGCUGUUCGCCGAUUAAAGUGAUACGUGAGUUGGGUUUAGAACGUCGUGAGACAGUUCGGUUUCUAUCUGCCGUGGGUUAAGGAAAUUUGAGAAGAUCUGACUCUAGUACGAGAGGACCGAGAUGGAUAUACCUCUGGUGUACCAGCUGUUAUGCCAAUAGCAUCGCUGGGUAGCUAUGUAUAGAUGGGAUAAUUGCUGAAAGCAUAUAAGCAAGAAACCCUCUUCAAAAAGAUUUCCCAAUUAAGGCCGUGGGAGACUACCACGUUGAUAGGCUAGGUGUGGAAACAUGGUAACAUGUGGAGCUAACUAGUACUAAU
rnacentral:rRNA from 1 species